ACGCUGACAGAAUGCUUAACACAUGCAAGUCAACUUGAAUUUGGGUUUUUAACUUAGAUUUGGGUGGCGGACGGGUGAGUAACGCGUAAAGAACUUGCCUCACAGUUAGGGACAACAUUUAGAAAUGAAUGCUAAUACCUGAUAUUAUGAUUUUAAGGCAUCUUAGAAUUAUGAAAGCUAUAAGCACUGUGAGAGAGCUUUGCGUCCCAUUAGCUAGUUGGAGAGGUAACAGCUCACCAAGGCGAUGAUGGGUAGCCGGCCUGAGAGGGUGAACGGUCACAAGGGGACUGAGACACGGCCCUUACUCCUAUGGGAGGCAGCAGUGGGGAAUAUUGGACAAUGGACCGAGAGUCUGAUCCAGCAAUUCUGAGUGCACGAUGAAGUUUUUCGAAAUGUAAAGUGCUUUCAGUUGGGAAGAAAUAAAUGACGGUACCAACAGAAGAAGUGACGGCUAAAUACGUGCCAGCAGCCGCGGUAAUACGUAUGUCACGAGCGUCAUCCGGAUUUAUUGGGCGUAAAGCGCGUCUAGGUGGUUAUGUAAGUCUGAUGUGAAAAUGCAGGGCUCAACUCUGUAUUGCGUUGGAAACUGUAUAACUAGAGUACUGGAGAGGUAAGCGGAACUACAAGUGUAGAGGUGAAAUUCGUAGAUAUUUGUAGGAAUGCCGAUGGGGAAGCCAGCUUACUGGACAGAUACUGACGCUAAAGCGCGAAAGCGUGGGUAGCAAACAGGAUUAGAUACCCUGGUAGUCCACGCUGUAAACGAUGAUUACUAGGUGUUGGGGGUCGAACCUCAGCGCCCAAGCAAACGCGAUAAGUAAUCCGCCUGGGGAGUACGCACGCAAGUAUGAAACUCAAAGGAAUUGACGGGGACCCGCACAAGCGGUGGAGCAUGUGGUUUAAUUCGACGCAACGCGAGGAAC
rnacentral:rRNA from 1 species